GGAAUAGGAGAUCCUGGAUGGAGGCCGGGUGGAAGGUCAGGGCCUUUUUGUGGCCGCCGUGGCACGGAUCCCUACCUGAACACUGCAAGUGACUUUUACCCUGGGAUUCAGAAAUGUCUACAGGACUGAGACUGGACCUGCUAAAGGUUGUGCAAUUUUUUUCAGUCGACAAAGCCUUCAGCAGUUCUUGAAGAAGAUUAAAUGGGAGGACAUUGCUUCUAAGAAGGAAUUGCCUCUGCAAUUUUUGGUCACUGAUCGAAAAGAAGCCUCAGACCCC